UUAAAAUGUACUGGUACUAAAAUGUACAAGGUCAGGAAACAAGACUGAUUAACAAGUUAGAUGGCUUGUGUUUUGCUAAUAAAAACAUUAUUGUUGAGUGUUCACGUGCAGCAACACGAGGGUCUGCAGAAAUCCUAUUUGACCACGUCAGUAUUCUGCAUGCAUGAUACUGAUAAGAAAAGUAAAUAAGAACUGUGUAUUUUUGCUGCUUGGAGAGACUGAAUUUAAAUUGUGUAGACAGUCUCCCAGCACUAACGUAUAUGGAUUUAAAUAAAAAGAAAAGGUUUUGCACAUCCUGAAGAGUUAUUCUUGACUCAAGACUAAAAGUGUCAGUUUUCAAGCUGAGGCAUCACAGGGACAAGUUCAGAAGUGACUCAAAGACAGAUAUAUUAAAUCCUCUAAUGGAGUAUGGCAACAUCCAGAUGGCCAACUGGUGAUGUCUGCCUCCUUGCCACCUUACCUGGUAAGGGCAUAUCUUGCAGGAUACCUGAUACUAUGGGCAGAAGAUGUCCUUCACCGAGUUCUCCCUCUGUGUUACGAUGCGUUCUUUUGAAAGAUGUACCAGCUUUACACUUCUGCACCAGAUGAUGUAUAUGGUUUGCCUUUUAGCCAAUGGAAGGAGGGUACGAACAUAUUAUGCAAGUUCUGACGUACUCAGUACUACAAUAUGUAUUUACACACUGGAAAAUGCCAAUGACAUAAGUUACAGACAGUAAAAGAUAAUGAUUUCUGUGUAUACCAAACUGACUACACCCACAUAGAUGUACUUAUCUGUUAAUACUUAUCAAAGGGUAACUACAUACAAGGAGUUAGCAUGUUGAAAAGGAGGACAUUCCACAAUACUAUUAUAUUUCAAUAUAAUGCAGAAAGUUAACUGUAUGUUAGCAAUAAAUUUGCAUUUUUACUGCUUAGGUUCUCCUUCAUAACUUACUUAUAAUGUAUUCCCAUUUGUCAUUGAUUUGCUACACUACAAUACCCCAUAUCAGUGUAACAGAUAGUUAACAAUUUGUACAACUAUUGUGUUACAUGACACCUAUAAACAUUCUUAUUUGUUUCAAACAGUAGGAAUAAGAUAAUGUGCUGCACUUUGCCAAAAUCAGUAUGAAUAUCUACAAUAUAAAUUACGCAAGCUGUGAAAAUUAUCAUAGUUUAAACAGUGCAUAAAACAGUAUUCAAGCACUUUUGUCACUGCUCUAUGUAAUUGUAUAUGAUAUGCAUGUCGCAUUGCACUCUGACAUUUGUAUAGCCAAAAUGCAUGACAAACAUCAUUAGAACAGUAGGAAUUAAAACAUCACAGCAUUAUAAACUGUUAGAAUGAAUACAUCAUAGCUUUAGAAUGGUAAAAGCCAAAUAUCACAGCAUUACAAGUUUUAUAAUAAAUUUUGGGCCCCAAUAACAUCCCAGGGUGCUUAAUAAAUACCAUGAAA